ACGGUUUCUCAUGUUGUGGUGAUCCCCAACCAUAAAAUUAUUUUCGUUGUUGCUACUGUUAUGAAUCUUAAUGUAAAUAUCCGUGUUUUCCGAUGGUCUUAUGCGAGCCCCGUGGAAAGGUCGUUCGACCCCCAAAGAGGUCGCGACCCACAGAUUGAGAACCGCUGGUCUAGAUUAAUAAAAAGAUGCCACUGGUUUCCC